AGAGUUUGAUCAUGGCUCAGAAUCAACGCUGGCGGCGUGCUUCAGACAUGCAAGUCGAACGCGAAAGCUUCCUUCGGGAAGUAAGUAGAGUGGCGCACGGGUGAGUAACACGUAAGUAAUCUACCUUUGGGUGGGGAAUAACUCAGGGAAACUUGAGCUAAUACCGCAUAACGCAGCGGCUCCUUAUGGAGACAGUUGUUAAAGGAUUUAUUCCGCCUGAAGAGGAGCUUGCGGCAGAUUAGCUAGUUGGUAGGGUAAUGGCUUACCAAGGCAACGAUCUGUAGCCGGCCUGAGAGGGCGGUCGGUCACACUGACACUGAAUAACGGGUCAGACUCCUACGGGAGGCAGCAGUCGGGAAUUUUGGGCAAUGGGCGAAAGCCUGACCCAGCAACGCCGCGUGAAGGAUGAAGUAUUUCGGUAUGUAAACUUCGUAAAAAUAGGAAGAAUCAAUGACGGUACUAUUUGUAAGCUCCGGCUAACUACGUGCCAGCAGCCGCGGUAAUACGUAGGGGGCAAGCGUUGUUCGGAUUUACUGGGCGUAAAGGGCGCGUAGGCGGCGUGACAAGUCACUUGUGAAAUCUCCGGGCUUAACUCGGAACGGCCAAGUGAUACUGUCGUGCUAGAGUGCAGAAAGGGCAACUGGAAUUCUUGGUGUAGCGGUGAAAUGCGUAGAUAUCAAGAGGAACACCUGAGGCGAAGGC
rnacentral:rRNA from 1 species